rnacentral:antisense_RNA from 1 species
CUUGAUGGAGCCCAGCCACAGCGGCUGGUCCUCGUCGUGGUUGCGCCCAUAGGUGGCGAGCAGGGCCUGGGCCUC